GAUAGUUUGAGGAGGGUUAAUAACCAAUUUAUCAGAAUGUCAUAAUAUUUGAUCAUAUGGCGUAGAAACGAAAUAGCUACAUUUCAUAAAGUAGUUAUUUGAACACGUGUCUCUAUAAAAUGCUCCCAACUACUGAUAUUAUGUUAUAAUUUAGGUAUAUUCGAUGGUUUAUUUUUUUUGUUCCGACACAAAAGUUUGUAAUCUGCGUUAAAAACUAUAAUUAUCCUAAAUCGUUUUACAGAUUGAAGGUAUCAAUUCGUCACCUUAAAAAUCGAUUAUCGACUUCACCUUUUCUCUAUUGAACAACGCCAGAUUUCAAUCAACAACCGUUCCAUUUCAUCAGAACUGAUUCAAGCAGCUAAAUAUUUCGAUUCGGUAACAGUUUUCGUCACGUAUUAUAAUGAAGUUGAUGUUUUUAAUUAGUUCCCUAUGUUAUUUUAUAUUACUGUAUGUUUUUUCUACAAAUGCCAACGUCGGGUGUGGCCAGGAUUGUUUUCCAGUUACCGAAUUAUCCGACCCCGAGCACUGUAUUCGUAACCCUGAAAAAAGAAAUCUAUGUAAAGGAAAACCAGGAUGUUCAUGUUGUUGCCCCUAACUAAAAUUCAUUUUUAAAAAUACAUCUUUAUAAUUAAUAGGUAAAUAAAAUAUAAUUAAUUUCCAAACAUUAAAAUAUUUCAAUUCCUUUAUACAUUAUUAGUGCUACUAAUUUUACUCAAUAAAAAUAUCCUGUAUUUCACAUUAAAAAACCUUUACCAAACUGACAGAUUUGGUUACUUAAAUAAUAUUAUGGGAGAGUGAGAUUAAUUAAUACAAUUUGAAAAUUUUUAUUAUUUUUAUAAUGGCCGUAAGUCUAUUUUUUAGGGUUACAUCCUAUUCAGUAGCCAAUUUUUACUAAGAAUUAUAUUUUUUUUUCACACAAUAUAUAGUAUUAAAUUUGUUCAUUUAAAAUGUUACAACUAACAUCAUGGCGUGGUAAGUAGUUACAUUCUAUGGGUUAAUUGUUACACUAUAAAUUACGUGUAAAUGCUUACUUUAAUCAUGUACCGAUAUAGCAAAAAAUAGAUUAUAUUUAACAAAUUGUAAUCAAUAGUAAUGACUUAUAAAUCCAAUGUACAAAUGUUUUAAAAACCUUGUGUUAUUUUUUUUAAUAAAUAUUAAUUUAGCAAACGAAC